CCUACGGGAGGCUGCAGUGAGGAAUAUUGGUCAAUGGCCGAGAGGCUGAACCAGCCAAGUCGCGUGCGGGAUGACGGCCCUACGGGUUGUAAACCUCUUUUGUCGGGGGAUAAAACGAGCCACGUGUGGUUCUUUGUGAGUACCCGAUGAAAAAGGAUCGGCUAAUUCCGUGCCAGCAGCCGCGGUAAUACGGAGGGUGCGGGCGUUAUCCGGAUUUAUUGGGUUUAAAGGGUGCGGAGGCGGAGGUGUAAGUCAGCGGUGAAAUGCCGGGGCUCAACCCCGUACUGCCGUUGAAACUGCAUCCCUUGAGUGCGCGAGAGGUAUGCGGAAUGCGUGGUGUAGCGGUGAAAUGCAUAGAUAUCACGCAGAACUCCGAUUGCGAAGGCAGCAUACGGGCGCGCAACUGACGCUGAAGCACGAAGGCGUGGGUAUCGAACAGGAUUAGAUACCCCUGUAGUC
rnacentral:rRNA from 1 species